rnacentral:rRNA from 1 species
CCUGAACGCUGGCGGCGUGGCUAAGACAUGCAAGUCGUACGGUGUAGCAAUACACAGUGGCGAACGGGUGAGUAAUGAAUCGCUAAUGUGCCCCGGACUCUGGGAUAGCUGACCGAAAGGGCAGGUAAUACCAGAUGAGACCACGAACAGGCAUCUGUUUGUGCUCAAAGGUCCGCCGGUCUGGGAGCAGGCGAUUUCGUAUCAGCUAGUUGGAGGGUAACGGCCUACCAAGGCGACGACGCGUAGCCGGACUGAGAGGUUGACCGGCCACAUCGGGACUGAGACACUGCCCGGACUCCUACGGGGGGCUGCAGUAACGAAUCUUCCGCAAUGCACGAAAGUGUGACGGAGCGACGCCGCGUGUGGGACGAAGUCC